rnacentral:rRNA from 1 species
CUAAAUGAAUCAAAACUUUCAACAACGGAUCUCUUGGUUCUGGCAUCGAUGAAGAACGCAGCGAAAUGCGAUAAGUAAUGUGAAUUGCAGAAUUCAGUGAAUCAUCGAAUCUUUGAACGCACAUUGCGCCCUCUGGUAUUCCAGAGGGCAUGCCUGUUCGAGCGUCAUU